GUCUCUCUGUAGCUCAGUUGGUUAGGGCGCUACACCGGAAUUACAGGUUCGAUUCCUGCGAGGGACC